AUUAAUCAAGAAGCUUCUUUAAAUUCAGAAAAACUUAUCAGCACAUUUUUUUAGCAACAAAUAUAAUAUGGGCUAAGGGGACUAAAUUGUGAUUACAAAUUGAAAGGAAGCAAUCUGUUAGUAAUAUAAUAUUAUAUAGAAUGAGGAAACUAAAAUGAAAUUCUUGAAUUUUUUAUGUUCUUGGAGCGUGAAAUGGAGUAAAGACAAAAUUUCUAGAAAUGAAAGAUAAUGCUUGUCUGAUGGUCAUGAUGUGACAACCGAUUCUUCCGGCCGGUUCCGGCUCACCCUUUUAAUACCCACAAACAGAAGAGUCGCGGAACAGAGCCGUUCGCACGAACAAAGAAAAGGGCGGACGACCGAGGGCUUCGUGGGAGAGCGAGGUAAGUUUCGUUUUCCAAUUUUAGCGAAUAAUCUUCUUCGAUGAUAAGAAUCGAUCAUUCCUUUUCUUUCUCACGGUUAAAGAAGUACUAUUUUGGGAGAAUUUACAUCGAGAGGGAAGAAACGAUCGAGAAAAAAAUAAGGAAAAAUGUUUGUUGAAUUUCUUUCGGAUUUUCCUAUAAAUUUCUUUUCCUACUUCGUUUAAAGUGAGCGAUAUAUUUCUUGAAGGAUAGGGAAGAGAUUGUAGCGAAGAAAAAGGGAAUUGGGAGAGAAGGGAUUUUGGGAGUUUGAGAAGUUCUCAAUUGUUUUAGAAAGUGAAAGAUCAAGUUGUAUGCAUUGAUCCCGUGAGAAUUCAACUGGAAGAAGGGAAAUUGAUUCAAGGUUAUAUCAAGCAUCGACGACCUGAAAAGUUCAAAGUGGGUAUUUAUAAUAGUUUAAAUUUCUUUAUUUCAAUUCUAUUUUCAUUUAGAAAGAAGUAUAUGUGAAAUUGUUUAGAUUUAUGAUUGCUCCUACUUUUGGAGAAAUGAUUAACUAAAAUAAGCAACGACAUGUAUGAGUACAAUUAUGGAAAAGAAAAAUGAUAUGUAAUGAGUAUAUCAAAGAAAUAGAAAAUAAAGUUUAGAAAGAAAACAUACACAUGUAUAUGAUUCGUAUAUGCAAAUGAUAAGUAAUAUUUAUAGAUAUACAAGUAAAAUAUGUUGUAUGCAAUUGUAUCAAUAAUGAUGAAAAUGAGAAAAGAAAAGAAAAGAGAAUAAAGGAAAAGGGUAUUGAAAACGACAGGAGUCACCACCUUAUGGUACUGGCUGGGGACGCCGUACUCGUGCAC